ensembl:snRNA U6 U6 spliceosomal RNA
GUGCUCGCUUUGGCAGCACAUAUACUAACAUUGGAACAAUAUAGAGAAGAUUAGCGUGGCCCCUGACCAAGAAUGACAUGCAGAUUUAUAAAGUGUUUCAUACUUGU